CCAGCUAGCGUUAACCUUCAACUCCGGGUUUUGCAGGCGGCCUUCAGUUGUUUAGCGCAACUGAUCCGCCGAGCCUUUUAUUUCUCCUCCUCUUCCUCUUGUAGGCACGCCAUUAGCUGCUAGUACCCAAGAAGCGGCCAUGUCCGGAGAAGAAACUGUCGGGGAAGAUGCGGGAGCCCCUCAAACCAGCGCCGUUGCUCCUCCCGCAGAGCAGCAGCAGAACCAAGAAGCAAUGGCGGAGACAACAGCGACUGGUGGGGAGGGAAAGGCUGCUGAAGGGACGUCAGAGGAGGCUCCCGACGUUUCUACCAGUACCGCUGCUGCUGGUCGCCAGUAUAAAGCACUGGUGCUCACCGGCUUUGGUGGUUACGAGAAGGUGAAAGUGCAGAUUCGGCAGCUGCCUCAAGCGGAACCCAGUCCGGGCGCUGGCCAAGUUUGCGUGCAGGUCCGGGCCUGCGGGCUUAACUUUGCUGACCUGCUGGCUCGCCAAGGGCUCUACGAGAGGCUUCCCUCGCCGCCCGUUAGCCCUGGCAUGGAGGCGGCGGGAAUCGUCCUGGCCGUGGGCGAGGGCGUCUCCAGCCCAAAGGUUGGUGAUAAGGUGAUGGUUAUGGCCCGGUCAGGUCUCUGGCAAGAAAUUGUGACAGUCCAAGCCAAUCAGACUUUUCUCAUGCCGGAAAGUAUGAGCUUUGAGGAAGCAGCUGCCUUUCUGGUCAAUUACAUCACUGCCUACAUGGUUCUCUUUGAUUUUGGCAAUCUGCGCCCUGACCAGAGUGUCCUCAUCCACAUGGCAGCAGGUGGUGUCGGAACUGCAGCUGUCCAACUCUGCAAAACCGUGGAAAACGUCACCAUUUUUGGCACAGCAUCUGCUUCUAAGCAUGAGGCCCUCAAAGAGAAUGGAGUGACUCACCCUAUUGAUUACCGGACAGCUGAUUAUGUGGCUGAAAUCCGAAAAAUUUCUCCCAAAGGUGUAGAUGUUGUUUUGGACCCCUUAGGAGGUUCAGAUACUACAAAAGGCUUUCAUCUCCUGAAACCAAUGGGCAAACUGGUCAGUUAUGGUGUAGCCAACUUGCUAACAGGGCAGAGGAAGAACCUAAUGGCUAUGGCAAAGACCUGGUGGAAUCAGUUUAGCAUCAAUGCCUUGCAGCUGCUUCAUCUCAACAAAGCAGUUUGUGGUUACCACCUGGGCUACCUUGAGGAGGAAGUGGAGCUUUUAGCUGCUGUGGUGACCAAGCUAAUUGCUCUCUACAAUCAGGGCAAAAUCAAACCAAAGGUGGAUUCUGUUUGGCCCUUUGAACAGGUGGUUGAUGCCAUGAAGCAGAUGCAAGAGAAGAAGAAUGUUGGGAAAGUUGUCUUGGUUCCUGAAGCUCCAUCGAAGGAUGAAAACAAGAAAACAGAGAAUUAAAGCAAGGGGCAUAGAUACAGUGAAAUUAUGGAAGUAAAAAUCAUCACAUCUAGAAGAGACUCUAGAAAGAGUGCAGAGAAGAGCAACAAAGAUGAUUAGGGGACUGGAGGAUAAAACAUAUGAAGAACGGUUGCAGGAACUCGGUAUGUCUAGUUUAAUAAAAAGAAGGACUAGGGGAGACAUGAUAGCAGUGUUCCAAUAUCUCAGGGCCUGCUACAAAGAAGAGGGAGUCAAGCUAUUCUCCAAAGCACCUGAGGGAAGGACAAGAAGCAAUGGGUGGAAACUAAUCAAGGAGAGAAGCAACUUAGAACUAAGGAGAAAUUUCCUGACAGAACAAUUAGUCAGUGGAACAACUUGCCUGCAGAAGUUGUGAAUGCUCCAACACUGGAAAUUUUUAAGAAAAUGUUGGAUAACCACUUGUAUGAAAUGGUGUAGGGUUUCCUGCCUGGGCAGGGGGUUGGACUAGAAGAACUCCAAGAUCCUUUCCAACUCUGUUAUUAUUAUUAUUAUUAUUAUUUCAGAUUGCAGAAAUCUAAAAUACAUUUACAGAACAAGGUAUGCAUAUUAAAUCCACCUAUUGUAAAUUAGAAAUAAAAAAACCUUGAAUAUGGGUAGUCCCAAACUUUUAGACCCCUUGGCAUUAUACAAAUCAAGUGUGUUGCUAGUGACUAUUAAAACUCUGUUCAUGGUCUUCUCUAGCUUAUAAGAAUUUGGCGGGUUUUUCCUAUCUCAAAUAUUGCAAAUUAUAACUCCUAGUGGCCUGUCAUUUUGGCAAGCCAUGCUGAGACCUGGUUCAUCAACUGAAGAACCAGUUUUCCCAGUUUAAGUCUAAAGAAUAAUAUAUAUUCAUCAUUUUUAGUCAAUGCAUUUCAUUAUUUCUAUUCAAUAACAAAAUUCUUGGAAUAAAUUCAAAAUCAAGGAGUGCAACAUAAAGUUGCCAAAAAAAAUUAUCCUUAAUGACAGCUUAAGUCUCACACAAUCCUUUUUGUGUGUGCCCUCCUCCCAUUUUUACAGAACUGAGAUGUAUAUAUAUAUUUGGCAAUGGGCAAAUAUUAUGGUUUAUUUCAAAUCAAUGUGUGAAAAUUAAUACUACUGUGAAAUAUUUUGUCCGUCCUUCGAUGAAACAUAACAUCUUCUAUUUUUCCAGAAUCUAUUGGUGGCUAGCAGCUAGGAGUCCAAUAAUUUCUGAUUUCUUUUCUGCAUAAAGUAUUUAUUUUAAAAUAUAAAAUUAGUGGGUCAACGAAAUGCAAUGGACAUAGUAUACUUGGAUUUUAGUAAAGCAUUUGACAAAGUAGACCACAACCUCUGUUUUAGGCCCAGUACUCUUCAAUAUCUUCACAAAUGGUUAAAAUGAAGGAAUAGAAAGGAAACUCAUCAAAACUGCAAACAAUACUAAAUUGGCAGGAAUAGCCAACACCCCAGAUAGGGUCAAGAUCCACCUGGAUCUUGAUAGACUUGAAUACUGGGCCCUAUCUAACAAAAUGAAAUUUAGUGUAGAGAAAAGCCAAUGCAAUCCUAAAUGCAUUAACAGAGACACAGAAUCAAAAUCACAUGAAGUAUUAGUACUGCUUUACAAAGUCUUAGUAAGACCACACCUGGAAUACUGCAUCCAGUUUUGGUCACUACAUUAUUAAAAAGAUGUUGAGAUUUUGGAAAUGGUGCAGAGAAGAGCAACAAAGAUGAUUAUGGGUUUGAGACUAAAACAUAUGAUGAACUAUAACAGGAAUUGGGUAUGGCUAGUCCAGUGAAAAGAAGUCCACGGAAAACAUGAUAGUGUUCCAAUAUUUAUGGGGCUGCCACAAAGAAAAAGGGAUCAAUCUAUUUUCCAAAGUGGCCAAAGGCAAGACAAGAAAAAAAAGGAAACUAAUCAAAGAGAGAUCCCACUUAGAACUAAGGAAAAACAUUCUGACAGUGAACAAUCAACCAGUGAACGGAUUGCCUUCAGAAGUAGUGGGUGCCCAAUCACUGAAGACUUUUAAAAAGAGAAUGGACAGCUACUUGUUUGAAAUGAUUGAGCAGGGGAUUAGAAGACUUUCUAGGUCCCUUCCAGUUCUAAUUAUUCUACUCUAUUCUACUCUGCUCUGCUCUGCUCUGCUCCGCUCUGCUCUGCUCUGCUCUGCUCUACUGUUUUGUUUUGUUUUGUUCUGCUCUGUUCUGUUCUGUUCUGCUCUGCUCUACUCUGUUCUGUUCUGUUCUGUUCUGUUCUGUUCUGUUCUGUUCUAAUUGCUUCUUUUGAAAAGUCACUGAAGUUACAGUAAGCCCUGUGUCUUCAACAAGCUUUGUUGGGUCGAGUUUAUAUAACAAGCUUAAGUGGGCUAGGAUGGAAACGUAGAUGAUUUGGUAUGUUAUGGAAACAGCUCAGCUUAAUUUCUAGCCUUCGGUCAUUCCCAUCACAUAUGAUAAAAGGUCCCUAGCAUUGCCUUACAUUUCCAACACAUCAGUGAAAGCUGUUCAUGCAUUUUGGCUAACCUUGUGGGUGGGAGAUGUCACGUGUAAAACAUCUUGUACAGGUUUUCUUUAUAUGUUGUAGCUAAAGUAAGUUUUCUAUUCCUCUCCCAUAGUUCCUGCCAGUCGUCUAAAUCAAUAUUAUAACCAAAAUUUUUGCUUCACAACAACAUAGUUUCUUUCACCUGUUCUUCAACCAUGGCGUAUUCCAAUAAAUAUUGAUAUAUUUUUCUUAUAAACUUUACCUCUGUUCCAAGUAAAAUUUUGUCUAGUUCCGUUGGUUCUGUCUUUAUGCCCCAUUCUUUUAUAUCUUUCAUGUAUCGUGAUUGAAUUUGAAGGUAUGCCCACCAUUCGAGGUCUGUUCCUUCCUCACAUAGAUCUUUCCUGGAUUUCAGUUCUCCUUUUUCACUUAGCAUAUCCUUAUAUGUAAUUACUCUUCCUGAUUUAAUAAAAUUUGGGUGUGUGAAUAUGUCUAAUGUUGAUAGGCAAUGUAGAAUCUCCAUAUAAUUACUUUGUUUAAUUUUAACCCAGACAUCUAAUAGUGCCCAUCUGAUGUAAUGCUUCUGGAAGUACUGGUGAGCCUUAUGGGAACUGGUGAGACUUAUGAGAACUAAUGGACUUUCUGUAGAAAUAUGACAAGCAACAAAAAAAGAAUCAGUAAAAACCAUUUCAGCAAAACUAGAGAAUGAAAUAGUGGCUAACGGACUGAAAGAAGGCAAUCUACAUACCAGUACAAGGAAAGAAAGCUUAAAAAAAUGUGCAAAUUUUUGCAUUUUAUCCUUAAUUUAAUUUGCUAGGAAAAUAAUGCUUAAUAUCAUUUAAUGCUGAUUAGGGAUGUUCAAGUUGGCUUGAACAAUGUUCAAGUUGGCUUUAGAAAAGACUAAUGAGCAAUAGAUUUUACUCAGCGAUGCACACUGAAUAAUUGAGAAAGCCACAAAAUAUCAAACAUAAGUCAAUAUGAGCAUCACUGGAUUAUAGAAAAACAUUUGAUUGUAUUAACCAUGCCAUGCCGAAAAAGUCCCUAGGAAAAUGGGAAUUUCAUUGUCCUCAAAAUCAAUACACAAGUCAGGAAAUCCAAUUUGGAUGAAAUGUAGUGAAACAGACUGGUUCCAGGUCAGCAAAGGAGUAAGACAAAGCUACAUUCUCCACUUAUUUAUUAAAACAAUAUUAGCAUUAGAUCCUCCCAUGCCAUGUAGCAGGAGUCCUCAGCCCCCAGUCUGUGGAAGGGCAUCGGUCUGUGGCAUGCCAGCAACUGGGCUACAGAAACAAGUGAAGCCCGACCUGCAGGAUGCAGGCAGCACACAAAACCAUGACCCCUCUAGCCUGUGGAAAAAUCUCUCUGGUGCCCAAAAGGUUGGGGCUACUUCUAUGUAGCAUAUCAAGCAACAAGGAGCCUAUAGAAUUUUCGGUCUUGGGCAAGGACGUCAGCAUCUUUUCAUGUGAUAUUUAGAGUCUGUAAGUCCUCCAUGAAUGUUCUUCACCAUGUAUUUCAAGGGUGUUCUGUUGGUCAUUUGGAAUCGAGGGUGGAUGGAUCAAUUUCAUUGCCAUCUUGGAGUUUUGAUUGUUCUACAUUUGAGGAAUAUGAUCUGCCAGUUGGAGUCUUCUGCAUGCAACAAUAUUAUGUUGUUUGCAGAAGAAACUCUUUUGGGGCACAUCUAGUAAUAUGGUCAAAAUAGUGAUUUUUUAAGAUUCAGUGAAUGCAUCUUCGUUAGUCUUUUGUUAAUACUUGCUGACAUGUUCCAAGUCAAACACUGGAGAAACAAAAACAUUAACAACUUGUGCUACAUUGAUGACACAAUUCUGAUAGACAAAAAUGUAAAUGAUUUGUAGUUUCUAGCAAUUAAAGUCAGGAGGCACAGUGAAAAAAAUGGGACUAAAUAUAAAUAUAAAGAAGAUUAAACUAACUGCCAAAGUUACAGCAACAAGCCAUACAAUUAAUGAUGAAGAUACUGAACUGAUGAAUGGCUUCUGCUUUAUAGGAUUAACUAUCAACAGUAAAGGAACUAGGAAUCCAAAAGCAUCCUGCGGAUCUGGUGCAGUCUGAUAAUUUUUCAAGGUCUUGUAAUAGAUGUUCUGAUUCUGAAAAGUAUCUAUACAAAGAUCAGAAUCAUGCCGGCAAAUGUCUCCGCUGUACAGUGGCUUCAUUGAAGUAAAAUAUAGACUUUGAAAGAGCAGAAUAGAUUAAAAUGUAUUUACACUUUUGAAAAUGUAUGAGAAUAUCAUGGACAGCCAAGAAAACAAACAAAUAGAUAAAAGAGCAAAUAAACGGUAUUCAUUAGACUCAAAUUAUUAGCUCAAGUCAGUGGUAGUAAACCUGGUCCCUACUGCCCACUAGUGGUAGUUCCAGCUUUCAUAGUGGGCGGUAGGGAUUUUCUCCGAUACGGAAGCACUUUCCUUUUUUUAAAAAUUUAAUUGUCUUUUUUUAAAAUAUUCAUAGCAUUAUUUAAAAACAUUUUCAUUAGGUUUUCAUAAAAUUCCCCAUGACAAUUUAAAUUUCUGAAAAUAUACUAUUUGUAUUGUCUGUGCAUAAGUUUAGUUCACGUUACGUAAGUGAAACUAAAUGGUGCUAUAGUGCGACCACAAACAAAAGAGCCUCAUCCCAGAAUAGUUUGCGCAUCUCCCCCCACACCACUCAGCUGUAACAGACAAGCAGAGCUGGUAGCCGGCCCCCCCAAACCCAAUCCACAAUGCGCAAGAGGCAUGCGCAGACGAUACACAGCGCAUUGCUGUGGAACCGGUGGGUGGUUAGAAAAUUUUAGUACUAACAAAGAUACAAAAGUGGGCGGUAGGUAUAAAACGGUUGACUACCCCUGGCACAAGUGAUCAUAUUUUGGAAUAUUAUUUAUUUAUUUAUCAUAUAAAUUUAGAAACUGCCCAUCUCCCUCACAGAGGGAGAUGAUGUGAAGACCUAGCUUUCUGACAAAGUCUAGGAUGCCGGGACAGGGAGAGGUGGGGGAGAAAAAAAGAGAAGAAGAGGAUGAUCAGUAAAUAGGUAAAGGUAAAGGUAAAGGUAAAGGUUCCCCUUGCACAAACAUGCUAGUCGUUCCCGACUCUAGGGGGCAGUGCUCAUCUCUGUUUCAAAGCCGAAGAGCCAGUGCUGUCAGAAGACGACUCCGUGGUCAUGUGGCCGGCAUGACUCCGCUAAAGGCGCAUGGAACGCUGUUACCUUCCCACCAAAGGUGGUCCCUAUUUUUUCUACUUGCAUUUUUUACGUGCUUUCGAAACUGCUAGGUUGGCAGAAGCUGGGAUAAGUAACAGGAGCUCACCCCAUUACACAGCAGCACUAGGGAUUUGAACCGCUGAACUGCCGACCUUCCAGUCGACAAGCUCAGCGCCUUGCCCCUGAGCCACCACAUCCCCUAUGAUCAGUAGAUAAAAAGCCUCAAAUAUAGCAGUGAUGGGUGCACCAUUGGAAAAUUUGAAGGACAAUCUUGAAGAUAGGCCAUUCUGGAGAAAUAGAAGUCUCAGCAUCAACUUAAUGUUAUAGCAUCAUCCUCAUCUUCUAACCAUCAUAAGUAGCCAUAAAUAUUCAUUGCUAAUCCUAAUGACUAUGUGUCUCAUGACGUAACACUAGUUUGCUCUCUUGUGGUUAUGUUAUAAGGUUGCAAUGUAGUAUACAAAAAACUAAGCUUGUCACUGCCCCUGAACAUCUCUGUCCAAAAGUGUGCAUGUGGAGAAAUGUGCAUUAUCAUAUCACAAUGCAAAGGCCACUCUUUAUAGACCUGUAUGCAAUAUUAUAAUGCAAAUAUAAAGGGGGUAAUAUCAAUAUGUCACAAUCUUUACUUCUCAUUUUGGUGUCAUCUUGGCUAACUAAUGAUGAUUUUGGACAUAAUUGCUUUUACUUUCUCUUCAGUUUCCUAUGCAGUUACAAGUGCAAAAGAUCAAACUUAGAUAAAGGUGUUUAUAGUGGCUGUAAAUCUCAUUGAGUGAAGGAAUGUGAGAGGCCAGGAACAAUCUUAAUUCACAAGCUGAAGUUCCACACAAACUCAAGAUCAAGGAAUCAGAACUAAGGAGAAUCGUACCAGUCCAGAGGCCAGCAAUUUCAGAAAGUUAGAUCCAAAGUUGGAAAGAUGUUCACUAAGAGAAGUUUUAUCCCUUUUUAAAGAUUCCUGACCCAAGAAUGCCUUUUUCUUUCAAGCAACCUCGUUUAACUUCUCUGUUCUACUCACUUGAUCUUUCUAUGUAUGCAAAGGGUGAGGAUCUUUGCCUGCCCAAUUCCUGAGGCAGCCAACUCCACCUACUAUUAUGGUUCCUGUGACAGGUGGCUUAUUACUUGACUGCUCCAGAUCUGCAAGCUCAUCCUUCAACAGGCCCCAUGAUUGCUAAGCCUCCUAUGCAGGUACCUGAAAGUCUGCUGAGCCUUGUAUUGCAAGAUCAAAACCUAGCCUGACCUGCUCCUCUAAUUCAAAGUUUAAUUUGUAACACGUAUCUGUAUAAUAAGUAAGGCAACUACUAUGUACAACUAACAACUGUAAGGCUCUGAAAAGAGGGAAAUAUGGAUUUCACUUGAAAGGGGAAAUAGAUUAGGGGAAUUAGAUUGAUUUACAUUUGCCAAGAUAUAGAUACAGUAAAUCUGAGAAGUUGCUAUGAAGCUAUGAAGCUGGUGUAGAUAAAUCCAUAGUAAUCCUAGUUGAAUACUAAGUCUUGAGAUGUCUACCUGCUUUUACCUCCCUCCAUGAAGGUUUGUGGGAAAUGCAGUCCCAAGCUGCUCUCUGUUCUGAUCUAUAGCAUUUGAUAUGGGAUGUCAGACCAUGCUUAAAUCAUAGCUUCUACACAAAAGUCAAGAAGGAAAGUCUCAAAGAGCUUUCUUGAUAUGGAUGUCCUGAGUGAGGAUUACAAACCUUUGGGAAGAAGAAAAGUGGUAAUUUACAAGCAAUCCUUGGCUUAUGGCCAUUUGUUUAAUGAUGGUUUGGAGUUUCAAAUGACCUCAACAAAAGUGAUUUAUGGUCCAUCUUUGAAGUUACAAGAAUUGCACCAUGCCCAUAGUCACAUGAUUGCAAUUUGGGUCCUUGGCAGCUGACUCACUUACAAUGGUUGCGGGGGUUUUGGGAUCACAAUUUGUUACCUUCCAAUUGGCUUCCAACAAGCAAGGUCAAUUGGGAAAGCUGGUUUCUCUUAAUGACUGUGUGAUUCACUUAAUAGCUGUGUGAUUUAUUAAAUGAUUAUAAAAAUAGUUGUAAAAUUGGGUCUGGUCAUCUGAAAAGUUGCUUAACAACUGCAUCACUUACCUAUCAAAAUUCUGGUCCCAAUUGUAGUUGUAAAUCAAGAACUAUCUAUAUUACUAAAUCAAGAAAUAUCAACUGAAAGAGUUCAUGGACAAGUCAUACACAGAUGGAGUGGGUGGAAAUUCUAAAAUAUAUGCUUAUUUAACCCCAAGGUAGUCAUAUUCAGGUGCUUCAUUGGCCAAUUCAGAAUAACUGAAACUUUUGAAGAUAUAUAUGGAUGCACAGUGAAGGUUUUUAGCUAUUUGUGCAGUUGAAGGCUUUCUGCUGUCCUUCUGGAUAAUAAACAAAGGGAAAAUAAAGAGUCUCCAUUCGAUGGGGAAUCGUGAGCUCCCAGAUCUCUCUUGAUGAGCUUUAAAGUGCUGCCCAAUUGCUGAGAAAGCUAGAGAUUGUCAAGUGAGUGGACACUCCUAUUCCUAUCUAACCGGGUACUAUUCUUAGGUAAAAAGUGUAAUCCCAUCAUUGCUGAAAUCCACAAUGCAAAAUCUUAUUUAAUAGUCACUGCAGAAUUUCACAAAUGCAGGAGGUUUCAUGACCUAUCAAGGUAAAUGUCAGAGUCUGUCAGCAGUGGCUCUCCAUAGAGUUUCUGACUAGUUUUGGGUCUCCAGAAGUUAUAUUCUCCUUUUCCAUCUCUGUCUCCCCCAGCCUUGUCUGCAGAUCUUCUGAUUACCUCAGAAAUGCUUUCCACUUUCUUGCUCCUGGGACAUCUCAGUAACUCAGAACUGAAGGCUUGUGCUUCUAUACAGGGAAAUAUUUGACUGAACAGGUCUUGGGAGUUAAACUUUAAAGUAAGUUCCUAUAUUACUUGGAGAGAUGGCACAGAGCAUCCUUUCCACUGGGGAAUGACCCACAUUCAUUCUUCAUAUAGACCUGCACAAAGGUCUACGCUCACAGUCCAUUGAAGGAAGUCUGUUUCACUGCCUAUAAGUUCAAUGAAGUAAGCCAGCUAAUAACAGCAAAACUAAGGAUAGAAGCUUUGUAAAGCUAGCUUUAUUUCUGCCAGGUUUAUAGAAUGUGACUUACAAUACAUAACUACAUAAACCAAGUUUUCUUUCACAGACUACAACUUCUGAUAUAAGGAAUAUAUUGCUUCAAAGUCCUUUGAAAUUUUGAAUGGAAUUUCUAGAAAACACCUGCUAGAUAAAUAAAUAAAGAGAAAGAAAGAGGGGGAAAAAAUCGGAAAUAGAACACAUGGCCUUAAUUAGAAUUUAAGGCAUUCCAUUGGUAUUAAAAUAAAUGUUUCUCUCUUCUAGACAGAUAACUGGAAGGACUUUAAUGUCAAGUAGUAUUUCCCAGAAAAGAAACAAGAGCUAUGGCAGAUAACAAUAAAACCACAUCAACCUAUGAUCCUGGAAAUUGUGUCCAAGGAAAGUGCACUUUUUUUUGUGCAUCAGUACUACAGGGAAUACACUAGAACACAAAGAUCUUGCCUCUGAAAUUUUGACAUAUUCACUAGUCUGCAAGAUCCCUAGUUUUUUUUUGGAAAAGGUAAUAUACUGUAGUGGAUAUGGUGCUGGAUUGGGACCAGGGAGACUGAAGUUCACCUUCAGCCACGGAAGUGAUUUGGGUAAGUCACUUUGUUUCCACAGUCUCUGAGGCAAGUGUUGAGGGGAACAAUAGAAACUGUAUAAUUUAAAUUUCCCUAGAAUACAUAGCUCAUGUUCAGAAUACAUUUCCAACACUUUUCCAUACAGUUUCAGGGGUUUGUCCAUUAAACUGAAUGCAGAGUCUUCAGGAUAAAACUUUUUUCAGCUUGGGGGAUAUAAAAAUAUACAAUAUUUUUUAGAGCUACUGAAGUAUUUUUGUUUCUUAAAAUAUUAUAUAUUCUGUCUUAGAAUAAUUUCUGAAUACCUUUACCAGAUUGCUCAGUAGCUUUGGAAAUGACCUCUGAUAUGCUUAGAUGUACUCAGUGGUGGGAUUCAAAUAAUUUAACAACCGGUUCUCUGCCCUAAUGAUUUCUUCCAACAACCAGUUCAGCAAACUGCUCAGAAAGUUAACAACCGGUUCUCCCGAAAUGGUGCGAACUGGCUGAGUCCCAUCACUGGAUGUACUCCCAAUAACUAUAUCUCCAGUAAUUAAGAUAGUAUUCUUUUGAAGUGAAGUUUUGUUGCCACUUGGUGGCGAUAGCUGCGUACAACAAUUCCACUGCUGAUCCUAACAGGCAGAAUACGUUCCGGAAAUUCCUAAAAAUUAAUUCAGUUUUAUUUCGGUAAAAAAAUUGGGUGGUCUCGUAAUUUCAGAUUUAAAAAUUUAAGUUUUCCAUCACAACUCAGGAUUGAGACAUCUCCCAAACUGUUAACCACAGUGAAGUUCAAUUCAGUUGAAUGUGCUGUUGUUUCCAAAAAAAUAUAUUUUCUCCCUGACCUACAAGUUCUUUGACUUUCAAUACUUAGUGAGCUACUGAAUAAGGGAAAAAAAGAGGAUAAAGGGAUAAAGAGGAGUCAGCAGAAAGCCUUAAGUUCAUCCCUGCAAUAGAGCAAAACUUCUCUGCUUGCUUCUUUUUGCUUUCCCCCAUCCUUGCAAGUGAUACUCACUUAAGUCCUCAGAAUGUUUCUCAAAAUGCUCAGCUCAAAAUCUCCUACAUUUUAAAAUUCCACAUCUUGAUUUAAAAAUCAAGCAAUUUUGAACAGGUUAUUAAUUACUAUAUAUUUUAGGCCCCCUAUCCCCUCAAAUAGUAAAUGUCCAAAUCAGUAUAAUUUUCUGUUUUUGGGACCAAAUAUUCACUAUAUCAAUGUCGUCCUCUGAUCUCUUAUUUUUCCCAAAAUCUUGCAACAAUCUGAAGUUCUGAAUUUCCCAAAACUGCCAGCAAUCCAUCAGUAAAAAGCUUCCAUUUUGAAAAUGUACACUAAAUCCUAAAUAAUGAUUGUUUCCCUGAUUUCAAAGGUAUGCAAAACAUAAUGAGCCAUAUAUCAUAGUACUGAGGGGUGGAAUACUUGCAUUAGAAGUUGUAUGUUAUCAGCCAACAUCUCUCUCUCUCUCUCUCUCUUUUUACAUUUUGGAAUGGUUGAGGAAAUUUAAGGAACAAUCUGGGGAGUUGAUUGCACAAACUCCUUAAAAUUCCUAGGAACUCACCUUGUCCUGCCAAAACAUACUACAGCCCUGCUUCCUUCUGAAGUGUGUCUUUUGAUACAAAGCACUGCACAGUGCUGAUACAGUGCUCUAGCUGUCAGAAAUAAGACAUGCCAUAGAGAAGAUUAAUGUUUACUCCAUUCCCCAAAUGAUGGAACUGUGUCGCUAACAUAUAUCAAUAAAAGAAUCCUCAUUGUUUUUCUUUUGCUAUAAAUUAUUCCUUCCCUUAUAUAUAUGCCAGUAUGGUACCAUAUUAUGCUUGAUAGUUUCUCCACUAUCAUUGGGGACUUGUGUAGCACUUGGUCUGUCAGCUCCCUGCUCUGGGGUUAAGUCACUGGAAUAUCCACAUUCACAUAAUUCUACUUACCCCCACAGAGCCCGACAUUUGCAAAAAGUAGGCAACAUUUUCUUCCCAUUGUAUUUUAUGUUACAUGCAGAAGCAAAUAUUUUCAUAAGCCACAUCUAAAGUUGAUAAUCUCCUGCCCACAAAGGAGUUUACCUAAAUCUGAUCUUGCUUAACUUGGAGAGCAUCUGUACAUGAUAAUUAUAUAAAUUGAAAUUAUAUAAUUAUAUAAAUUGAAAGCUACAUACAUUACAACCUUAGUAUAGUAGGCAGUAAGAUCUGGGAAAAGCCAAAGCUGGAAUAUUAACAUUUAUAUCUAUAUUUAUUUUUAGAAUGCAUUGUUCUACCUGAAGAUGAAUGCUUCUAUUUUGACAGACCAAGCUGUGGGGGACCCUUCCCGCUCCCUCCAAGCCAACAAAUGUCUCCUUUGACAAGAUCUUUUCAGCCUUAGCCCCUUCUCAGGGGCUGCAAAUAAAUGAGCCCCACUAGGUCCCCUUGUCCCCCAGCCUGCCUAUUUUGUCUUGCUGGCUCCCACAUAAAUAAUGCAACAAAGGAGGGUCCUGCCCAUCUUACGUUGGGUGAGGAGCCAACUUGUCACUUCCCUCGGAAGCCUUGUUGCCCCAGCACAGGUGCUUAGACUGACUCUCUGCUCUUGAAUUAUUCACCAGAGAUCAAGUUAACAUGCAAAGAAGUAUUUCUGCAUAGCAUAAAUGUUCAUGACGUUUCAGGGCUUUUUCUUCUUUUUCCAAGCCUACUCAUUAAACAUGGGUAAAAUGCAAUGGAAUGGGGAGGGGAAGAUGUACAUGCAUGCAUGUGUGCACAUAUGUGAAAAAUGCUGGUCUAGGAAAGACUCUUGGGUAUUGGAUCUCUGUGAAUAUCUCUGGGCAUGAAAGAGAAUUGAGGGAGACAGACAGUGGUGGGUUUCUACCGGUUUGCCCUAGUUCGGGUGAACUGGUAGCAGCGGUGGUGGUGGAAGGCUCCGCCCACCCACCCGGACAUCAUCAAAGACGCUUUGUGCAUGUGCAGAAGGGCCAUGCACGAGCAAAGUUUCAAACUGGUAGCGAAGGUAAGUGAAACCCACUACUGGAGACAGAUGGACAAACUGAGAGAGUGAUAAAGCAGGGGAUAGUUCAAUAAACACUCAAGGAAAAGUUGUCUUUAAUCAAAGAAUAAGGUUUUCCCCCCAAUCCUCAUCUUUUGCUUGGGCCUUCAGAUCUUCUCUGUAAAUUAGACUUCACGCAUAUCACUUCUUAGAGGUACAUUUAGUUAGAACAAUUUAUCAGAUAGCUAGAAAAAUCAGUGGAAUGACUUGCCUCCAGAGUUUGUGAGUGCUAAAAUACCGGAGGUUUUAAAAGAGAUUGGACAGCCAAUUGUCAGAACUGUAUUCAAUUUCUGCUUGAGCAGGGGGUUGGAUAGAAGACCUCCAAGGUCCAACUCUGUUAUUCUGUUGUUUUUUUAGAUAGGGAAGACCUGUGCCACACAUUAGCUUCAUAUUAAACUGAUUUAUUGUUCAUAACCAUGCACAGGAUCUAGUCAACUAAUAAUCAGCACUAAUUUGGCUUUAGAUAAGGGUUAAGGAAGAGCAGUUGGAUUUAGUAUGCUUGUGACAAGGUAGAGAGGUGGACCUGAUUCCUUUGUUGACUCUACGCCCCUCCAGGUUCUGCCAUUCCUUUUCCUAUCUCAUUCCUGGGGUCAAAAUUUUAAAAACAAGCCGAAUGAAAGUUGAUGAGAGAGAGCAUCUUUGCAGGAUAAUGGGCGUUCUGGUUCAUAAACACCACCCAGGAUUUAAAGAGAGCUACUGACAACAGCAAUCUCCUGAAAUGAGCACUUAAAAAAGCAAAUUGCUUUCAUGACUAUAUUGAAGUGAAAUUGAUCACCUAGUUUUUAAACUAUAUCUUUAACUACCUAUAGUUUUUAAUUGACUAUCUAUAGUUUUUAAACUAUAUGUUUAUAUAAUUAAAAAUUGCAACCAAGUAUCUAAAUCAAAGGUGUCAAACUCAUGGUAUCACAUUGUCAUCACAAGACGUAUCAUGAUUUUUUCCUCCUCUAGGUGGGUGUGGCCAGCACAUGACGCAUCUGGCUCAUGGGGUCGCAAGUUUGACACUCUUGAUCUAAAACCUAACUUUACUUUUCGAAAGUCCUAGCUGAUAUUAAUGGGCUUUUCUUCAAUUAUUGUACAGUAUAAACUUUCUUGCUAUAAUGUUAUAAAAUCUUCAUGAAGAGUUUAACUUCCCAUAGGAGAAAGUAGAAAGCCAUAAAGCAAUUUACAUUUACAAUUGAGAUUUCAGUAAUACAUCCAUAAAGCAUACAAAUACAGCUUAAUCCAGUUUGUUAAGCAUACUGUCUACUCUUUUUGAAUUUCAUUACCCUUUUGUACCUUUGCAGUAUUCAUAACUUUCUGAUGCAUACUCACAGGAAAGUGCAACAUUUAUGUUCUUGUGAAACGAUCACAAGAAGACCUGGUCUAGGUAAAGAUGUUUCACUAAAAAAAUACAGCUUGGGGGAAUGGUAAAUCCAUUUAUGGAAUUCUCUCCUCUGUGAGAUGCAAUGCAAAAGGAAAAUGACAAAGACAAAAGUAAUCAGUCCAGUCUCUUAUAAUGGCUUUAUAGAAACUCCUUAACCUUUGUGAUAAUUCUAUUUACUUUCUUUUAAAUCCAUAGUUUCUGAUUGUGCAGUUGUGUAUUUUAACAUUUUAAAUACAUUGUUAAGUGGCUCUGAGGGUUUUUAUAUUGCAUGAAGAACAAUAUUAACCAAUUCUAAUUUUUUUGUUAAUUUUGAACAAAAUAUUUCUAUAGCUUUUCACAAUUGUUCAAAGCACUUCACAUGGAUAAUCUAAAUACAGAUCUCAGUGGAAUGGUUGCCUCCAGAGAUUGUGGGUGCCCCAUCACUGGAGGUUUUCAAGAAGAGAUUGGAUAGUCAUUUGUAUGGAAUGGUCAUUAUUAUUAUUUGUUCAAGAAACGACAUUGAAGACAUCACUUUUAUUGCUCAUGUCAAAAAAGGGCAAAGAAGUGACAUCGACUUGAACACGCUCACCAGGUCACUUGACCACCAAGCCACGCCUGCCAAUUAAACCAAGCCCACAGAACCGGUAAGGAAAAUUUUUAGAUUUCACCCCAGUUGGAUUAUAGAUUUACAGUGGUAGACAAAAAUCAAUAAAAAUCAAUUAUCUCCAUAGAAAUGGAUAGGGCAGAUUAUUAUUUGACAUUUCAGAAUGUGGAAGAAGAAAAAGGAGGAAACCUAGUGAAGAUAAUGGCAGAUCUGCUGUUGGAAGCGGUGGAGGAAUCUAAGGAAAAAAUGCUGAAUGAGAUUAAUGAAAUAUUUAGAGUGCCUAUUAGAUACACAAUGAGAAACAAAUUACUAAAAGAGGUGCAUGUUAGCUUCACCAAGAAAGCAAUAAAAACAGAGAUCCUGCAGAGAGCAAGAGAUAACCCGAUGAAGUAUAAAGAUAUACUUCAUAUAAAGAAGGCCUGUGGCCUUCCGGGUGCAUGUCAAGGUUUUGGUAACCAUCUUCAAAGCGCUCCAUGGCUUAGGGCCGGGCUAUUUACCGGACCGUCUACUGCCACCGAUUGCCUCCCACCGACUCGUGCACUCUCACAGGGAGGGACUCCUUAGGGUGCUGUCCGCCAGGCAGUGCCGACUGGCGACACCCAGGGGAAGGGCCUUCUCUGUGGGGGCUCCCACCCUCUGGAAUGAACUUCCCCCAGGACUCCGCCAACUUCCUGACCUUCGAACCUUCUGCCGCGAGCUUAAAACACAUCUAUUUAUCUGUGCAGGACUGGACUAACAUUUUAAUUUUACAUUUAAUUUUAAUGGGGUUUAUAUAAUUUUAAUUGUAAUUUUAAAUUUUGGCCUAUUUAAAUAAGUUUUUUAACUUUGUGUUUUACCUUGUAUUAUAUUGUAUUUUUUACCAGCCUGUAAACAGCCCUGAGUCCUCUGGGAGAUAGGGCGGUAUAAAAAUUUGAAUAAAUAAAUAAAUUAAUAGAGAAAUAGUAGUGUUAAAACAAAUUCUAAGACGAAUUAGAGACUUAAGUAAAAAAUACCAGUUUUUGACAAAGUAUUUAAUUAAAAGAGGACUGAAUUUUAGAUGGUUGAUACUGGAGGGAAUAUUGGUGACCUUGGAGGAGCAAUGGCAAAGGUGGUUUGGAGAACCGGUAGCAAAAAUCCCUGCCCUCCCCGCCUAUGCCCACCCAAUAUCCCGAUCACCCACUUGCCAGCUUGGCCGCUUGCUGCUUUUUUCCUGUUCGCUCGCUUUUCUUGCCUUGCUUUGCCUGCUGCAAUCCCUGCAAUCAACUACAUCAGAUAGCAACUGAAUCUGCCUGCCUGCAAUCAAUCUCACUGGUAAGCAACGUAAACUACGUGCCUGCCUGUCCUGCCUUGUGACUUCAAUUAUAUUGAAGUCAAAAGUAUUGAUUGCAUGAAAUAAUUGUUAUAUUUCCUUUUUGUAGGUCAAAAAAGGGCAAAGAAGUGUCAUUGACUUGAACACCAGGUCACCUGACCAUGCCUGCCAAUUAAACCAAGCCCACAGAACCGGUAGGGAAAAUUUUUAGAUUUCACCCCAGUUGGAUUAUAGAUUUACAGUGGUAGACAAACAUAAAGAAAAAUCAAUUACCUCCAUAGAAAUGGAUAGGGCAGAUUAUUAUUUGACAUUUCAGAAUGUGGAAGAAGGAAAAGGACGAAACCUAGCAGAGAUAAUGGCAGAUCUGCUGUUGGAAGCGGUGGAGGAAUCUAAGGAAAAAUGCUGAAUGAGAUUAACGAAAUAUUUAGAGUGCCUACUAGAUACAAAAUGAGAAACAAAUUACCAAGAGAGGUGCAUGUUAGCUUCACCAAGAAAUCAAUAAAAACAGAGAUCCUGCAGAGAGCAAGAGAUAACCCGAUGAAGUAUAAAGAUAGAGAAAUAGUAGUGUUGAAACAACUUCUGAGACGAGUUAGAGACCUAAAUAGAAAAUACCAUUUUUUGAUAAAGUAUUUAAUUAAAAGAGGACUGAAUAUUAGAUGGUUGAUACUGGAGGGAGUAUUGGUGACCUUGGAGGAGUGAUGGCGAUAGUGGUUUGGAGAACCGGUAGCAAAAAUCCCUGCCCUCCCCACCUAUGCCCACCCAAUCUCCCGGUCACCCACUUGCCAGCUUGGCCGCUUGCUGCUUUUUUCCUGCUCGCUCGCUUUUCUUGCCUUGCUUUGCCUGCUGCAAUCAAUUGCAAUCAAUUGCAUCAGAUAGCAACUGAAUCUUCCUGCCUGCAAUCAAUCUCACUGGUGAGCAACGUAAACUACGUGCCUGCCUGCCUGGGUAAGUAACAGGGAUUUUUUUGGAGGGUGGUUUUUUUAAAAAAGAUAGUUAAUUGGGUUUUUUUGUAAGAGUUUUCCUUUUUUUUGACAUAGCUAUUUAAAGUUUAGGAAGUUUUAAAUUUAGCUGCUUUUAUCUAAAAAAUAGAAAUAAAAUAAAGUAAUAAAAUAAACUGUUUGUGCAGCCUUCUGAGAUUUGGUGUGUUUCUGUAGUGUUUCACUCUAACUAUACAAACACACAAAAUAUUGCAAGGUUGUAGGUAGCAUUUUGUGCCGAAAAAGUGUGAAAGUUGGGUUUAGAGCUUUUUGUGGCUCUGUGAGGUUCCUGCUUCUUGCAGGGGCCAUUCUGGGUCAAAUGCAGCUGUUUUACAUUGCGUGUGAGUCAGCUGUGUUGUGUUCUGUUGUGUGUGUGUAAAGUGUGAAAGUUGGUUUUUGGAUUAUUAUUUAAGACUCGAAAGGAGAAUUAACAGAAACAGGCCAAGGUGACACUCUUUUUUGUUCCUCUUCUUUUUGGAGGCACUUUGAAUUACGCUGUCACGUUUUUCUUUUUAAGUGUUACCACUUCUAUUUUUUUUACCUAUAUCUAUUUGCUUCCAGGUGGUAACAUUGUGAAUUCUUCUUCUUUCUUUUUUUUAAAUUGCAAUUUGGGGUAUUUUUCCUCUCUCUGAGGCAAUUGGAUUAAGGUCAGAAGAACCUGAAGAAAAGAACCAUGAAAAUCUCUGAGAUUUGGAUUUGGAUUACAAAGCUUUUGGGCUGCUCUUUUUUUUUUUUUAAUCAUUUUUGUUACCACUUUGGUUUUCUAAUUUUCUUUUUCUCUUUCUUGUGGUUUUUUUUUUUUUUUGGUGGCCCUAUAUUUGGAUAUAAAUUGACUUGGAAAUUGACUUUAUAUUGACUUUAUAUUAAAUUUAUAUUUCCGAGCUAUAUUUCAUGGAUUAGAAAUCUCAAGACAUUACAAGUUGAAGAAAACAACAUCAGCAUUGUCCUCAGGCUCAUCCUCUGCAACUUUUUUUGGGGAGAGCUUUAAAACAAAUAGUUAAUUGCACUUUUCUAGAGUUUUUUUUUUUUUAGACAUAGCCAUUUAAGGUUUAGGAAGUUUUAAAUUUAGCUGCUCUUAUCUAAAAAUAUAAAUAAAAUAAAAUAAUAAAAUAAUAUAAUAUAAUAUUUGUGUGACUUUCUAAGAUUUGGUGUGUUUCUGUAGUGUUUCACUCUAACUACAGAAACACACAAAAUCUUGCAAAGCUAUAAGUUUCAUUUUGUGCGGAAAAAGUGUGAAAGUUGGUUUUUGAGCUUUUUGUGGCUGUGUGAGGUUCCUGCUUUUUGCAGGGGCCAUUUUGGGUCAAGGGCAGCUGUUUUACAUUGCGUGUGAGUCAGUUGUGUUGUGUUCCAUUGUGUGUGUGUGCAAAGUGUGAAAGUUGUAUUUUGGAUUAUUAUUGAAGUAUUGAUUGCAUGAAAUAAUUGAUAUACCUUCUCCUUGUAGGUCAUUAUUAUCAUUGGUUCAAGAAGCGACGUUGAAGACAUCACUUUUAUUGCUCAUGUCAAAAAAGGGCAAAGAAGUGACAUCGACUUGAACACGCUCACCAGGUCAUUUGACCACCAAGGCACGCCUGCCAAUUAAACCAAGCCCACAGAACCGGUAGGGAAAAUUUUUAGAUUUAACCCCAAUUGGAUUAUAGAUUUACAGUGGUAGACAAAAAUAAAUAAAAAUCAAUUAUCUCCAUAGAAAUGGAUAGGGCAGAUUAUUAUUUGACAUUUCAGAAUGUGGAAGAAGAAAAAGGAGGAAACCUAGUGAAGAUAAUGGCAGAUCUGCUGUUGGAAGCGGUGGAGGAAUCUAAGGAAAAAAUGCUGAAUGAGAUUAACGAAAUAUUUAGAGUGCCUACUAGAUACAAAAUGAGAAACAAAUUACUAAAAGAGGUGCAUGUUAGCUUCACCAAGAAAGCAAUAAAAACAGAGAUCCUGCAGAGAGCAAGAGAUAACCCGAUGAAGUAUAAAGAUAGUGAAAUAGUAGUGUUGAAACAAAUACUGAGAUGAGUUAAGAGGCUUAAAUAGAAAAUACCAGUUUUUGACAAAGUAUUUAAUUAAAAGAGGACUGAAUUUUAGAUGGUUGAUACUGGAGGGAGUAUUGGUGACCUUGGAGGAACAAUGGCGUCAGUGGUUUGGAGAACCGGUAGCAAAAAUCCCUGCCCUCCCCACCUAUGCCCACCCAAUCUCCUGGUCACCCACUUGCCAGCUUGGCCGCUUGCUGCUUUUUUCCUGCUCGCUCGCUUUUCUUGCCUUGCUUUGCCUGCUGCAAUCCCUGCAAUCAAUUGCAUCAGAUAGCAACUGAAUCUGCCUGCCUGCAAUCAAUCUCACUGGUGAGCAACGUAAACUACGUGCCUGCCUGCCUGCCUUGUGACUUCAAUUGGGUAAGUAACAGGGAUUUUUUUGGAGGGUGAUUUUUUUAAAAAAGAUAGUUAAUUGGGUUUUUUUGUGAGAGUUUUCCUUUUUUUUGACAUAGCUAUUUAAAGUUUAGGAAGUUUUAAAUUUAGCUGCUUUUAUCUAAAAAAUAGAAAUAAAAUAAAGUAAUAAAAUAAACUGUUUGUGCAGCCUUCUGAGAUUUGGUGUGUUUCUGUAGUGUUUCACUCUAACUACACAAACACACAAAAUAUUGCAAGGUUGUAGGUAGCAUUUUGUGCGGAAAAAGUGUAAAAGUUGGAUUUUGAGCUUUUUAUGGCUGAGUUUCCUGCUUGUUGCAGGGGCCAUUCUGGGUGAAGUGCAGCUAUUUCACAUUGCGUGUGAGUCAGUUGUGUUGUGUUCUGUUGUUUGUGUGUAAAGUGUGAAAGUGGGUUUUUGGAUUAUUAUUUAAGACUUGAAAGGAGAAUUAACAGAAACAGGCCAAGGUGACACUCUUUUUCUUUCUCUUCUUUUUGGAGGCACUUUGAAUUACGCUGUCACGUUUUUCUUUUUAAGUGGGUGUUACCACUUAUAUUUUUUUUACCUAUAUCUAUUUGCUUCCAGGUGGUAACGUUGUGAAUUCUUUUUUUUUUUUUGAAUAAUUGUAAUUUGGGCUAUUUUUCCUCUCCUGAGGCAAUUGGAUUAAGGUUACAAGAACCUGAAGAAAAGAACCA